CCUACGGGGGACAGCAGUGAGGAAUAUUGGUCAAUGGACGAGAGUCUGAACCAGCCAAGUAGCGUGAAGGAUGACUGCCCUAUGGGUUGUAAACUUCUUUUAUAUGGGAAUAAAAUGUUCCACGUGUGGGAUUUUGUAUGUACCAUAUUAAUAAGGAUCGGCUAACUCCGUGCCAGCAGCCGCGGUAAUACGGAGGAUCCGAGCGUUAUCCGGAUUUAUUGGGUUUAAAGGGAGCGUAGGUGGAUUGUUAAGUCAGUUGUGAAAGUUUGCGGCUCAACCGUAAAAUUGCAGUUGAAACUGGCAGUCUUGAGUACAGUAGAGGUGGGCGGAAUUCGUGGUGUAGCGGUGAAAUGCUUAGAUAUCACGAAGAACUCCGAUUGCGAAGGCAGUUCACUGGACUGCAACUGACACUGAGGCUCGAAAGUGUGGGUAUCAAACAGGAUUAGAUACCCCAGUAGUC
rnacentral:rRNA from 1 species